rnacentral:tRNA from 1 species
GCUGUCCUAUGGCUCAGUUGGUAGAGCAUUGCGCUAACGAUGCAAAGGUUGUGGCUUCAAAUACCAGGGAAAGCG